GACGAACGCUGGCGGCGUGCCUAAUACAUGCAAGUCGAACGCAGUGGGGACGGGUGAGUAACACGUGGGUAACCUCCCAUCAGAGGGGAUAACACUUGGAAACAGGUGCUAAACCGAUACUGAUGGAUGGACCCGCGGUGCAUUAGCUAGUUGGGGAGGUAACGGCUCAACAAGGCCACGAGGCAUAGCCGACCAGAGGGGGUGAUCGGCCGAACGGGGACUGAGAGACGGCCCAGAGUCCUAGGGGAGGAAGCAGUGGGGAAUCUUCGGCAAUGGACGAAAGUCUGACCGAGCAACGCCGCGUGGGUGAAGAGGGUUUUCGGGUCGUAAAGCUCUGUUGUUAGAGAAGCGGUAUCUAACCAGAAAGCCACGGCUAACUACGUGCCAGCAGCCGCGGUAUAC
rnacentral:rRNA from 1 species